AAUUUGAAUUCUUAUCAGAUAAGAAUUUAAAUUCAAUUGAACUCUAUCUCAUCCCCUUGGCCACCAUCUAUAAAAGGAAGGGAUCUCUUGGGUGUGGUGACUAUGACAAGUCAUUAAAUCCAUCUGAGUGCCACCCCCUUCAUCCUUUGUCUUCCUUAUUCCACACACCCAACCCUCCUUGAUCGGCCACAGAGAGAGAGAGAGAGAUUAGUGAGAGAG
rnacentral:lncRNA from 1 species